rnacentral:tRNA from 1 species
GGGGCGUUAGCUCAGUUGGUAGAGCGCCACAAUGGCAUUGUGGAGGUCAGCGGUUCGAACCCGCUACGCUCCA